CUCGGAGUUUGAUCCUGGCUCAGAUUGAACGCUGGCGGCAUGCCUUACACAUGCAAGUCGAACGGUAACAGGUUAAGCUGACGAGUGGCGAACGGGUGAGUAAUACAUCGGAACGUGCCCGAUCGUGGGGGAUAACGGAGCAAAAGCUUUGCUAAUACCGCAUAAGAUCUACGGAUGAAAGCAGGGGACCGCAAGGCCUUGCGCGAACGGAGCGGCUGAUGGCGACGAGUAGGUA
rnacentral:rRNA from 1 species